UCCCCCCGUGUGACUCACAACAGGGCAGGGAGGGGAGAAAAGUCACACGGGAGCCGUGUUGUCCCCAGCGCUAGCAGCGGGUCCGUCACCAAGAUGCCCCAGGUAUCUUCAUGUGUUUCGUGUUGGGGGUGGCCCUGCUGUCCUGGAGACAACAUGCUGUCCCCAGGCCCCAGAUAAGGCCCUUGUAGUCCAUCUGUGGGACAAAGUCCUAGCCCACCCUCUUACUUUGACCUCUGGCCUGAAAUCCCUCAAGGUUUCCUGCCCCUCCCAGGAGGCUCUCCCUCCCCCUGCUUCUGGUGGGGGUCCAGGCUGAGCUUCCAGCUCAGGCCACAGGGUGGGUCCGGGCAGGCACAUGUGGGGAGUGGCUGUAGAGGGACCCUCCAGGAGAACCCAGAGCCAGGCCAGCACUGGGUACUGCAGGCUCUGGCUGUGGGGCGGCCCCGCCCUCAGGGCAGGAAGGGCAGACACGGGCUGGGCAUUCAGUAGCUGGCUGUGUCUGGCUGUUGCAAGGAGAGCCCGGCCCAUCAGGACACCCAAAGCAGAGCUGGGGACCCCCAGAGGGAAGCCCAGGCAGGCUUCUCACCUGCCAUCCCCUGGAUGUGGACACCCACUUGUGACUCUCCUUGUUCCUGGCCUCACCCCUCCCAGUGAGGAUGCGGGGUGUGGGUGGGGCGUCCUCUCCCACAGUGCCCACAGGCUGCCUCUCCUUGUGUGGAGCUCUGUUCCCUGGGGAGGUGGCCUCCCAGUAACUUCCUUCUAGAGCCCAGCCCCUCUCCACCCCCACCCCCCCCCCACACACACCCAAGAGCUCAGGUGGGACUGGGAGCAGUGCCAGAGGUGGCCAUGUGGUCCCUUUUCCCCUCCCCGGCCCUGUCAAUCCAGGUCUGAAGCUCUCCCAGGAGCUGGACACGGGACAGGCCCACAGCUGCCAGUGGGCUGAAGUAGAUGUAGAAAACCAAGCCCAGGAAGUCAUUGGGGAGGGGGCCUUGUUCAGCCCAGUGGGGUGAAUCAGCGAUUGCCCUGGCUGCCCCCUGGCCCCACGUGGAGCCCUACGAGGUGGUGUGGCCACGGCGCCUGCUUGGACCCCGUGCCCGCCGAGCCCUUCCCACCCACUCGGUAAGUUUCAUCUGCCUGCCCCCCAGACUGGCCCCACAGAACCUGCUGCUGUGGACAGGUCACAGCGCUCCUGCGUCUCCAGGGGCAAGGGGCUGACCUUCGGGCCUGAGGAGCAGCUGGGCGUCCGGGCUGCCCUGUGCAGGUUUAGCUGGAGCCAGACAUCCUAGAAGGGGGGAUGGACACUCCUCGGUGGGUGGGCAGCAUGACCAGCUAGGGGGCCUCUGUGCCCCGCCCUCACCUCCCUUGCUGUAAGGGCUGGGGCUGCGCCACCCUCUUCCUCAAGGAAGGGAUGUCACCAACAUCACCCAUGUGUGGACAAACGGGGCCGUGGCCUGUGUGGUGCCUCUGGGUGGCAUGGUUGGGGUCAGCUCACCCUGGGCCCUCUCUCUGGCUCAGGAUCUGUACCCAGAGAACGUGAGCUAUAUCCUCAAGGCUGGGGGCCUCCGCUUCACCCUGCACCUUCGCAAGAACAGGGACCUGCUGAGCCCAGGCUACACAGAGACCUACACCGCUGCUAACGGCUCGGAGGUGACAGAGCUGCUGCACGGGCAGGACCAUUGCCUCUACCAGGGCUAUGUGGAGGGCCACCUGCACUCGGCCGCCAGCCUCAGCACCUGUGCCGGCCUCAGGGGUUUCUUCCGGGCGGGCUCCGCCAUCCACCUGAUCGAGCCCUUGGAUGGGGUUGAGGAGGGGCGGCACAUGCUGUACCAGGCGGAGCACCUGCUGCCCAAGGCUGGGACCUGUGGGGUCAGCAACGCCAGCCUGGACAGCCUGCUGGGGCCUCGGGUCUCGCCAGCCUUCAGGCCCCGGAAUGGGCCGCUGUCCCGAGAGACCCGCUAUGUGGAGCUGUUCGUGGUCACGGACACUGCGGAGUUCCAGAAGUGGAGGAGCAGAGAGGCCGUGCAGAGGCGGGUGCUGGAGGUGGUCAACCACGUGGACAAGCUGUACCAGGACCUGAACAUGCGGGUGGUGCUGGUGGGUCUGGAGAUGUGGGUGGCCCGGGACGGCUUCCGGGUCAGCCCCCAGGCCAACGACACACUGGAGGCCUUCCUCCACUGGCGGGCACAGCACCUGCUGGGGAAGCCGCAUGACAACGCUCAGCUCAUCACGGGGGUCGACUUCUCUGGGACCACCGUGGGGCUGGCUAAGGUGUCUUCCAUGUGCACCUUCCACUCGGGGGCUGUGAACCAGGACCACAGCCAGAACCCUGUCGGUGUGGCGUCCACCAUGGCCCAUGAGCUGGGCCACAACCUGGGCAUGAAUCAUGACGAGAACAUCCAGGGCUGCUACUGCCCUGUCCCCAGGGAGACUGGCGGCUGCAUCAUGGCCUCCAGCAUCAGCUCCAGGUUCCCCAGGAUGUUCAGCCACUGUAGCCAGACCGACCUGGAGACCUUCCUGGAGGGGCCGCAGACGGGCUGCCUGGCCAAUGCCCCCGACCCCCGCCGGCUGGUGGGCGGCCCCACCUGCGGGAACCGGUUUGUGGAGCAGGGGGAGCAGUGUGACUGCGGCCCCCCCCAGGCCUGUGGGAACCGCUGCUGCAAUGCCACCACCUGCCAGCUGGUCGAGGGGGCCAUGUGUGCCCACGGUGCCUGCUGCCACGAGUGCCAGGUGAAGCCGGCGGGCGAGCCGUGUCGCCCCUCGAAGGAUGCGUGUGACCUGGAGGAAUUCUGUGACGGCCAGCAGCCCGCGUGCCCCGAGGAUGAGUUCCAGGAGAACGGCACCCCCUGCCCCGGGGGCUUCUGCUACAAUGGGCACUGCCCCUCACUGGCCCAGCGCUGCCAGGAGCUGUGGGGGCCAGGUGCACGGGCAGCCCUGGACACCUGCUUCACCUACAGCAUCUCCCCAGGAUGCCAGGGCAGGAUCCCCUCCGGCUUGGGCCAGGUCGACUGGUGUGGCGUCCUGUUCUGUGAGGGGGGGCUGCAGCCCCCGACACGCAGGUCCUGCACCCUCACCUCCCACUCGGCGACCUGCCAGGCUCUGUUCACGGAGGACUCCAGUGCCUACGAGGCCGUGCCCCAGGGCACCCGGUGUGGCCCGGGCAAGGUCUGCUGGGAUGGACGCUGCCAGGGCCUCCAUGUCUACAGAUCCCGGAACUGCUCCGCCCAGUGCCACAACCACGGGGUCUGCAACCACAAGCGGGAGUGUCACUGCCAGGCAGGCUGGGCCCCGCCCCACUGCGCAGAGCCACUGACCGACAGGCGCACAGCCUCCAGGAGACUUCCGAUCAGCGUGCUGGUGGCCCUGGUGCUCCUGGCAGCUGGGGUGGCUGCGCUGGCAGGCGGCAUCAGCUACUGCAAGGCUUGGCACCGCGCUCACGGGAGGAGCACAGCGCCCAAGGCCACUGUGGGGCUCUCCAACCCCCUCUUCCAGCAGCGGGGCCGAGCCCCGGACCCCAGCCAGGGCCCCGCAGAGCUGGUCUCCCCCAGCCAGCCUCCCAGGCCCGCAGCUUCCUCUGUGACCCCUCAGAGGCCCCCCCCUGCUCCUCCAGCCGCUGUGUCCAGGCUGCCCCUCCCCGUUCCUGUCUACACCCAGCAGGCGCCAGACCAGCUGAGACCUGCCCCGCCCACCAAGCCCCUCCCAGGGCUGAAGCCCAGGCAGGUAAGAGGCCUGGGGGUGGGGCCAACUCUGCAACCUCCCUUCCCAAGGGCCUGUGUCACCGUGUGGGCCACAGCAGCCUCUGAUGGGCGCAGCCCCGCCUCUCUCUGUCCCCUGAGUCAGCCCCCUUCCCUUCUCAGCGGCCGUGAGAGUCCGGACCGAUGGGCUUUGCCCACUCCUCAGUCACGCUGCAGUGUGGCUCGCAGGGCUGGGUUUUUAACUGCAAUCUUGAGUGAACCAAAGGGGGAGAAGCCCCCUGGCCGUCCCCCAGCACCACGUCCGCACUGCCCUGUGCCUGUGCGGCGCUCCCCUGCUGUGACCCCUCCUGGUCUCUGGUCUCAGCUGGGGCAGAAGCACAUGAGUGCACUUCCUGGGGCGAGGCACGGGGCCCAUGGCCUUGUCCCUCGAGGCCUUGACUCAUCCCCGGCCGGGUGUGGGCAGUGCCCCUCGGCGGGUGGAUCCCCUGGGAUUCCUGCCUGCUCCUGGCGCUUGGCCCCCUGGGUGAAUCUUGCCAGCGGUGGUCGGGUGGUCGUAACUGUGUUACUUGUGAGUGAUUUUCUGUCUCUUUGUUUCAGCUCUUUAUUUUAAGCUGAUUUUAGUCUUAAGAGUGUCAAGAAACAGUCCCAGCAUCAGAGUGGGAGUUUCUGGCCAGGAAGUGGUGACUGAUAGGCUGGGGUGGGGGUGCUCAGGGAGGCUGUGGCUUGUGCCCCAUGGGUCCCCUGCGUUCAGAGCACUCGGGGGAUCCCGGGAGUUGCUGCAACUGCUGAGCUCAGCCUAGCCAAGGGAAGCAGAAACGGACAGCACGGGCGUCCUGGCCAUGAGCGCGUGGCCCUUGAGCCUGGGCACCCGCAUUCUGGCCACUUCCAGUCUUCCAGGGGUUCUGGGAGCAUGGGGGCUGCCUCGGGGGGGCCAGGAUGGGGUCUGCCACUGCGGCUUUGUCUACCGUCCCUGUCGGCCCCUCCCAGGUCCUGAAGCCCACCUGUACACCCCCAUUGCCACCAGUGAAGGCCAGGGCUGGGGAGGUUCCUGCUGCCAUGACCCAGGGGGCUGCUGGCCCAAAGGCUGUCCUGAAGCCCCCUGUCCCGAGGAGGUGAGGGCACCUGAGCCUGCCUAGAGACCAAGAAGCCGCGCAGCCGGGGACUGCAGGCCUGGGGCCUGGCCACGAGGGACCGAGAGCUCCUGGCGUCUGGCAGGGCGCCCCCCCCCCCCCCCGCCGCCAGUCUCCAUCUCCCGAGUUGGCCAGAUUUUCUCAUGAGCACUGGGCGUGUACUGGCCAUGUCCCCAUGCAUCCAGGUGGCUCCUUGGCUCCCACAUGCUUUCACGGCCCACCCCAGGGACAGCCAGGGCAGAGGACCCAGCCUAAGACUGGCUUAGCCCUGGGCAGUUCUCCUGAGUGGACGGUCUCUCCGUGCUUCUGCCUGUGCGUGCCGUGGCUCAGGAAGUAACUUCAGUUAAAGGCCCUGUGUCCACUUCUGUCCAGUUCUACCCGGUUCUCCUGAGCCCUCAGGUUUGGGCUGAGCAGAACUGGAAAACUUCAUUCCUUAAAAAUGUGUUUUGGCGCUGGUGCUGUAGCGCAGUAGGUUAACACGCUGGCCUGAAGCACUGGCAUCCCAUAUGGGCACCAGUUCGAGACCCCACUGCUCCACUUCCAAUCCAGCUCUCUGCUGUGGCCUGAGAGAGCAGUGGAGGAUGGCCCAAGUCCUUGGGCCCCUGCACCUGCGUGGGAGACCAGGAGGAAGCACCUGGCUCCUGACUUCGGAUCAGUGCAGUUCCAGCCGUUGUGGCCAGUUGGGGAGUGAGCCAUUGGAUGGAAGACCUCUCUCUCUCUGCCUCUCCUCUCUCUGUGUAACUCUGACUUUCAAAUAAAUAAAGAAAUCUUAAAAAAAAAAUGUGUUUUGAGGGGCUGGCGCUGUGGCAUAGCAGGUAAAGCCGCCACCUGCAGUGCCGACAUCCCACGUGGGCACCAGUUUGAGA